rnacentral:rRNA from 11 species
CAAGGAACUAAGAGUUUAUGGGGGAUACCUUGGCAUUCAGAAGCGAUGAAGGACGUGGUUACCGACGAUAUGCUUCGGGGAGCUGGAAACAAGCUAUGAUCCGGAGGUUUCCGAAUGAGGCAACUUUUUAACUACUUAUUGAAUUCAUAGAUAAGAAAGAGCAAACCUAGAGAAUUGAAACAUCUUAGUACCUAGAGGAAAAGAAAGUAAAAACGAUUCCCUGAGUAGCGGCGAGCGAAACGGGAUUAGCCUAAACUUAAUUAUAAAUUAAGGGUAGUGGGACAAUAAUAAAGAAUUUAAUGGAACGAUUAGAGGAAUAAGUUUGGAAUACUUAACCAUAGAGAGUGAUAGUCUCGUACUCGAAAAUUGAACCAAUUCAAUUGUAUCCCAAGUAGCAUGGAGCACGUGAAAUUCCGUGUGAAUCUGCGAGGACCACCUCGUAAGGCUAAAUAUUCCUGAAUGACCGAUAGUGAAACAGUACCGUGAGGGAAAGGUGAAAAGUACCCCGGGAGGGGAGUGAAAGAGUACCUGAAACCGUGUGCCUACAAGCCGUCGGAGCCUGUCAGAGGGUGACGGCGUGCCUUUUGAAGAAUGAGCCUGCGAGUUAGUGUUGUGUGGCGAGGUUAACCCGUGUGGGGAAGCCGUAGCGAAAGCGAGUCCGAACAGGGCGCAUGAGUCGCACGAUCUAGACCCGAAGCCGAGUGAUCUACCCAUGGCCAGGUUGAAGCGCGGGUAAGACCGCGUGGAGGACCGAACCCACUUCAGUUAAAAAUGGAGGGGAUGAGCUGUGGGUAGGGGUGAAAGGCCAAUCAAACUCGGUGAUAGCUGGUUCUCCCCGAAAUGCAUUUAGGUGCAGCGUCACGUGUUUCUUGCCGGAGGUAGAGCACUGGAUGGUCUAGGGGGCCCACAAGCUUACCGAAAUCAGCCAAACUCCGAAUGCCGGUAAGUGAGAGCGUGGCAGUGAGACUGCGGGGGAUAAGCUCCGUAGUCGAGAGGGAAACAGCCCAGAACACCGGCUAAGGUCCCUAAGCGUGUGCUAAGUGGUAAAGGAUGUGGAGUCGCACAGACAACCAGGAGGUUGGCUUAGAAGCAGCCACCCUUUAAAGAGUGCGUAAUAGCUCACUGAUCGAGUAAACCUGCGCCGAAAAUGUAUGGGACUAAGUAAUUUGCCGAAACUGUGCGAUAUAUAUUUAUAUAUCGGUAGGGGAGCGUUCUGUUGUAGGUCGAAGUAUUAGCGUAAGCGGAUAUGGACGAAGCAGAAGUGAGAAUGUCGGCUUGAGUAACGAAAAUAUAGGUGAGAAUCCUAUACCCCGAAAACCCAAGGUUUCCUCCGGAAGGCUCGUCCGCGGAGGGUAAGUCAGGACCUAAGGCGAGGCUGAAAAGCGUAGUCGAUGGACAACGGGUUAAUAUUCCCGUACCAUUUUUUAUUGAUAUCGAGGGACGGAGAAGGCUAAGCUAGCCGGAUAUUGGUUUUACCGGUUUAAACGUUCGAGAUGUUGAGAAGCGGCGAAAACGCUUUGAGUUGAGACGUGAAUACGAGACACUAAGGUGUUGAAGUAGUGUAUGUCAUACUUCCAAGAAAAGCUUGCACUGUCAUAAAUAAAAAAUGCCUGUACCAUAACCGACACAGGUGGGUAGGUAGAGUAUACUAAGGGGCGCGAGAUAACUCUCUCUAAGGAACUCGGCAAAAUAACUCCGUAACUUCGGGAGAAGGAGUGCCUUAUUUAUAAGGUUGCAAUAACAAGAUCCAAGCAACUGUUUAUCAAAAACACAGGUCUCCGCUAAGUCGUAAGACGAUGUAUGGGGGCUGACGCCUGCCCAGUGCCAGAAGGUUAAAGAAGUUGGUUAGCAAUAGCGAAGCUGGUAACUGAAGCCCUGGUGAACGGCGGCCGUAACAAUAACGGUCCUAAGGUAGCGAAAUUCCUUGUCGGGUAAGUUCCGACCCGCACGAAAGGCGUAAUGAUUUGGAUACUGUCUCGGAGAGGGGCUCGGUGAAAUAGACUUGUCUGUGAAGAUGCGGACUACCUGCACCAGGACAGAAAGACCCUAUGAAGCUUUACUGUAACUUGAAAUUGAAAUUGGACUUUAUUCGCGCAGCAUAGGUGGGAGGCGUUGAUUAUAAUCUCGCGGGAUUAUUGGAGCCAUCAGUGAGAUACCACUCUUGUAAUGUUAGAUUUCUAACUUUGAAUCAUUAUCUGGUCAAAGGACAGUUUCAGGCGGGCAGUUUGACUGGGGCGGUCGCCUCCUAAACGGUAACGGAGGCGUACAAAGGUUUCCUCUGAACGGUUAGAAAUCGUAUCUAGAGUGUAAAGGCAUAAGGAAGCUUGACUGUGAGACCUACAAGUCGAGCAGGGACGAAAGUCGGUCUUAGUGAUCUGACGGUACUGAGUGGAAAGGCCGUCACUCAACGGAUAAAAGUUACUCUAGGGAUAACAGGCUGAUCUCCCCCAAGAGUUCACAUCGACGGGGAGGUUUGGCACCUCGAUGUCGGCUCAUCGCAUCCUGGGGCGGUAGUACGUCCCAAGGGUUGGGCUGUUCGCCCAUGAAAGCGGUACGCGAGCUGGGUUCAGAACGUCGUGAGACAGUUCGGUCCAUAUCCGGUGUAGGCGUUAGAAUAUUGAGAGGAGCCUUCUUUAGUACGAGAGGACCGAGAAGGACAUACCUCUGGUGUACCAGUUAUCGUGCCAACGGUAAACGCUGGGUAGCUAUGUAUGGAGUGGAUAACCGCUGAAAGCAUCUAAGUGGGAAGCCCACCUCAAGAUAAGUAUUCUCAUCACGUAAGUGAGUAAGGUCACGGUAAGACUAACCGUUUGAUAGGCAUUAAGUGUAAGUACAGUAAUGUAUGUGCUGAGAUGUCCUAAUAGACCGA